rnacentral:tRNA from 1 species
GUUCCAAUGGCUCAGUUGGUUGGAGUGUGACGCUUGUAACGCCAGAGCUGUGGGUUUGAUUCCUGCUUGAGCCA